CAUAUGCUUGUCUCAAAGAUUAAGCCAUGCAUGUCUGAGUACAGACCGAUCUAAGGUGAAACCGCGAAUGGCUCAUUAAAUCAGUCAUAAUUCCUUGGAUAGUGAAAAACUUUCCUCGGAUAACUGUGGAAAAUCCAGAGCUAAUACGUGCAACUGAGCUCCGACCUGGGCGCGAGCCUAAAGGGAAGAGCGCAUUUAUUAGAUUCAAAACUGACCGGUGUACUCCUUCGGGAUAUAUCGUUGUCAAAUGUUUGAUGACUCCGGAUAACUAAGCCGAGCGCUACGGUCUUCAGUACCGGCGCCGUAUCUUUCAAGUGUCUGCCUUAUCAGCUUUCGAUUGUAGGUUAAACGCCUACAAUGGCUGUAACGGGUAACGGGGAAUCAGGGUUCGAUUCCGGAGAGGGAGCCUGAGAAACGGCUACCACAUCUAAGGAAGGCAGCAGGCACGCAAAUUACCCACUCCCAGCCCGGGGAGGUAGUGACGAAAAAUAACGAUGCGAGACUCUUCCGAGGCCUCGCAAUCGGAAUGAGUCCAUUUUAAAUCCUUGGACGAGGAUCCAUUGGAGGGCAAGUCUGGUGCCAGCAGCCGCGGUAAUUCCAGCUCCAAUAGCGUAUAUUAAAGUUGCUGCGGUUAAAAAGCUCGUAGUUGGACUUUCUAGAUCCAUUUCGUGGAUGAGUCUCCAGUUGUACUCGCGUUUUACGCAGUUGCUCGAUGACUAGGGCGGGUGGACGUUUGCGUUUCUCUUUUCUCUUUCUUCGGAGGGAGACAUCGAGUCUCGCCGUUUAACCUAAACUCCGAAUCUUGCGUACGGUGAGACGUUUGUGGUCUUCUGGUAUUGCUCGUCCGCGUUUGGUACAAUUAAAAUUUUGUCGGCUCGCUCGGAGUGCUCUUCACCGAGUGUUCCAGGGUGGCCGAUACGUUCACUUUGAAAAAAUUAGAGUGCUUAAAGCGGGCUUAUUUACGGCCUGAAUGUCUGUGCAUGGAAUGAAGUAACAGGACCUCGAUUCUGUUCUUUUUGUCGGUUUUAAUGAACCGAGGUAAUGAUUAAAAGGGACAGACGGUGGCAUUAGUAUUGCGACGCUAGAGGUGAAAUUCUUGGACCGUCGCAAGACUAACUACUGCGAAAGCAUUUGCCGAGAAUGUUUUCAUUAAUCAAGAACGAAAGUUAGAGGAUCGAAGGCGAUCAGAUACCGCCCUAGUUCUAACCCUAAACUAUGCUAACUAGCGAUCCGCCGGAGUCAUUCCCACGACCCGGCGGGAAGCCCCAGGGAAACCAAAGUCUUUGAGUUCCGGGGGAAGUAUGGUUGCAAAGCUGAAACUUAAAGGAAUUGACGGAAGGGCACCACCAGGAGUGGAGCCUGCGGCUUAAUUUGACUCAACACGGGAAACCUCACCAGGCCCGGACAUCAUAAGGAUUGACAGAUUGAGAGCUCUUUCUCGAUUUGAUGGGUGGUGGUGCAUGGCCGUUCUUAGUUGGUGGAGUGAUCUGUCUGGUUGAUUCCGAUAACGAACGAGACUCUACCCUACUAACUAGUCGGCGGAUCGUAACCCUGAGAUGGUUAGUUUGUAUAGGAGAGUUGGUGUAGGCGUUUGCGGUUUUGUUUCGCAGUCUAUCGAAAGAGGCGCUUCGGUGUCUCCUAGGUAUGUGCUGCGGGCGGGACGGUUCGUCGAAGCUACUUUCUGAUUACUGCUACUACUGCUGGGGGUGUCCGUCGCAAUGUAUCUUCUUAGAGGGAUCAGCGGCGUCUAGCCGCACGAGAAAGAGCAAUAACAGGUCUGUGAUGCCCUUAGAUGUUCUGGGCCGCACGCGCGCUACAAUGUAGGGCUCAGCGUGCUUUCCCACUCCGAAAGGAGCGGGUAACCCGUUGAAACCCCUACCCGAUUGGGAUUGGGGAUUGCAAAUAUUUCCCAUAAACGAGGAAUUCCCAGUAAGCGCGAAUCAUUAGUUCGCGCUGAUUACGUCCCUGCCCUUUGUACACACCGCCCGUCGCUACUACCGAUUGAAUGAUUCAGUGAGGGCAUCGGACUGGCGCCUUUCGGUUUAUUAACGUAGACCUUAGGCUGACGGAAAGAUGUCCGAACUCGAUCAUUUAGAGGAAGUAAAAGUCGUAACAAGGUUUCCGUAG
rnacentral:rRNA from 1 species